AGCCUCUGUGAUGAUUGAAAGUGAUGCAGGCGUAGCAAUUGACAGACAAGCAAGAGGUGCUUGUUGGGCUGGUGAAGCGGGAUGUGCCGCCUCGUGUUGGAGACAAGGACGAAGAAAUGGUGGUUGCUGUGGACAAAGUCAUACAAGAUGCCAUGGAACUUGCUACUGUAACGGGAGUGGCUAUACACAUCGUUGCUACAGCUGUGAUUUGUAAUGUAUUGACAACAAUGAUGGACUGAAACAAGAUCUUGAAAGACUACUACAGACUUUUUAUUCGAACUCUAACUCUUUCUUUAUACGAAUCUAUAUGCUGCAUAUUUUUCUUUCUAUAUGAAUAAAAAUACGUUGUCUGUA